rnacentral:rRNA from 1 species
GAGCAUAUCAAUAAGCGGAGGAAAAGAAACUAACAAGGAUUCCCCUAGUAGCGGCGAGCGAAGCGGGAAGAGCUCAAAUUUAUAAUCUGGCACCUUCGGUGUCCGAGUUGUAAUCUCUAGAAAUGUUUUCCGCGUUGGACCGCACACAAGUCUGUUGGAAUACAGCGGCAUAGUGGUGAGACCCCCGUAUAUGGUGCGGACGCCCAGCGCUUUGUGAUACAUUUUCGAAGAGUCGAGUUGUUUGGGAAUGCAGCUCAAAUUGGGUGGUAAAUUCCAUCUAAAGCUAAAUAUUGGCGAGAGACCGAUAGCGAACAAGUACCGUGAGGGAAAGAUGAAAAGCACUUUGGAAAGAGAGUUAACAGUACGUGAAAUUGUUGGAAGGGAAACGCUUGAAGUCAGACUUGCUUGCCGAGCAAUCGGUUUGCAGGCCAGCAUCAGUUUUCCGGGAUGGAUAAUGGUAGAGAGAAGGUAGCAGUUUCGGCUGUGUUAUAGCUCUCUGCUGGAUACAUCUUGGGGGACUGAGGAACGCAGUGUGCCUUUGGCGGGGGUUUCGACCUCUUCACACUUAGGAUGCUGGUGGAAUGGCUUUAAACGACCCGUCUUGAAACACGGACCAAGGAGUCUAACAUGCUUGCGAGUAUUUGGGUGUCAAACCCGGAUGCGUAAUGAAAGUGAAUGGAGGUGGGAACCGCAAGGUGCACCAUCGACCGAUCUGGAUUUUUAAUGAUGGAUUUGAGUAAGAGCACGUAUGUUGGGACCCGAAAGAUGGUGAACUAUGCCUGAAUAGGGCGAAGCCAGAGGAAACUCUGGUGGAGGCUCGUAGCGGUUCUGACGUGCAAAUCGAUCGUCAAAUUUGGGUAUAGGGGCGAAAGACUAAUCGAACCAUCUAGUAGCUGGUUCCUGCCGA